GGAGAAUUAGCUCAGCUGGUUCAGAGCAUCUGCCUUACAAGCAGAGGGUCACAGGUUCGAAUCCUGUAGCCUCCACAA
rnacentral:tRNA from 1 species